rnacentral:misc_RNA from 1 species
GUGAACACGCACCCAAGCACGCGUACUCUUUUUCUGGAAAGGGGGUCUCUUUUCCUCGCGGCUCUCCACCUCUUUCGUUCCCCAUCCUCUAGUGCCAGAAAUCGAUGCUCGAUGCUCUGAAGAUCGGUGUCAUUCCCGCCGGAGGGGGUAAGGGGGUGGCGCCUUUUAUAGGCUAACUGUGCUUGCGGAUGUUGAUGGUGCGUAGCCUGCUACUGUGAUGUCUGCACCUUGUUGACAAGCAUCUAGAGCGUACUGCCCUCUCUGCUGGAUGGCUUCUAGUGACGUGCGUGCUAGGCUUGGGCUCUCCUCCUUCCUUCCCCUGACUUUUCCUUUUCCAGGACUUUUGUCUCUCAUCUCGUGAAUAUGAGUGCGUGUGCGCAGUGUUGCUCAUCUGUCUUUUAGAGCCUCUUUGGCUGCCUCUCCGUCAUUCGCUUUCCCUCGCCUCCCUCUCCCCUUCAUCACGCCGCUCUUCUUCUGCCCUCUGUGCCUGUGCAUUCCCCGCCCCCGGAGUGGUGUGUGCCAGGAGGGGGGAGAAAGGGGUCCAAUUUGUGGUGCAGGGAGUGAGGGGGGGGGGGCGAAGGGGGCGGCGUUGGCGGAGUCGCACAUGGAACGUUGCCAAUUCUCGAAGAGGUGUAGCAUGGCAGAAAGAAAAGAGAGCAAGAAAAAGGGAGGAGGAGGGCUUGCUGCGCAUUCGGAUGUGUAUGCACGCCGGCGAUCGACGAGAAAGGUUGAGAAAAGCCCGCUGGACGCAUGGCCCGAUACAACGGCAGAACGGUUCAUCCUCGGCGACCAGGAUGUAGCGAUGGUGCAACAGAGGUAGGUGCGCGGUGGCUGUGUGUGCGUAUACUUUCUGACUUGCUCGUGGCAGAUUGUGCGCAUUGCAUUGAAGAUGCGUGCCGGCAGCGGCUCCAUUAUGGGCGUUGGUACUCCUAAUGUGAAGCCAGUAAAAGC